AGCGAACGCUGGCGGCAGGCCUAACACAUGCAAGUCGAACGAAGUCUUCGGACUUAGUGGCGGACGGGUGAGUAACACGUGGGAACGUGCCUUUAGGUUCGGAAUAACUCUGGGAAACUUGUGCUAAUACCGAAUGUGCCCUUCGGGGGAAAGAUUUAUCGCCUUUAGAGCGGCCCGCGUCUGAUUAGCUAGUUGGUGAGGUAAAGGCUCACCAAGGCGACGAUCAGUAGCUGGUCUGAGAGGAUGAUCAGCCACAUUGGGACUGAGACACGGCCCAAACUCCUACGGGAGGCAGCAGUGGGGAAUCUUGCGAAAUGGGCGAAAGCCUGACGCAGCCAUGCCGCGUGAAUGAUGAAGGUCUUAGGAUUGUAAAAUUCUUUCACCGGGGACGAUAAUGACGGUACCCGGAGAAGAAGCCCCGGCUAACUUCGUGCCAGCAGCCGCGGUAAGAC
rnacentral:rRNA from 1 species